UACGUAGGGUCCGAGCGUUGUCCGGAUUUAUUGGGCGUAAAGAGCUCGUAGGCGGCUCAGUAAGUCAGAUGUGAAAACUCAGGGCUCAACCCGGAGACGCCAUCUGAUACUGCUGUGGCUUGAGUCUGGUAGGGGAUCACGGAAUUCCUGGUGUAGCGGUGAAAUGCGCAGAUAUCAGGAGGAACACCGAUGGCGAAGGCAGUGAUCUGGGCCAGUACUGACGCUGAGGAGCGAAAGCGUGGGUAGCAAACAGGAUUAGAAACCCCAGUAGUCC
rnacentral:rRNA from 1 species